rnacentral:rRNA from 1 species
AGGGAAACCGAGUCUUAACUGGGCGUUAAGUUGCAGGGUAUAGACCCGAAACCCGGUGAUCUAGCCAUGGGCAGGUUGAAGGUUGGGUAACACUAACUGGAGGACCGAACCGACUAAUGUUGAAAAAUUAGCGGAUGACUUGUGGCUGGGGGUGAAAGGCCAAUCAAACCGGGAGAUAGCUGGUUCUCCCCGAAAGCUAUUUAGGUAGCGCCUCGUGAACUCAUCUUCGGGGGUAGAGCACUGUUUCGGCUAGGGGGUCAUCCCGACUUACCAACCCGAUGCAAACUGCGAAUACCGAAGAAUGUUAUCACGGGAGACACACGGCGGGUGCUAACGUCCGUCGUGAAGAGGGAAACAACCCAGACCGCCAGCUAAGGUCCCAAAGUCACAGUUAAGUGGGAAACGAUGUGGGAAGGCUCAGACAGCCAGGAUGUUGGCUUAGAAGCAGCCAUCAUUUAAAGAAAGCGUAAUAGCUCACUGGUCGAGUCGGCCUGCGCGGAAGAUGUAACGGGGCUAAACUGUGCACCGAAGCUGCGGCAGCGACGCUUAUGCGUUGUUGGGUAGGGGAGCGUUCUGUAAGCCUGCGAAGGUGUCCUGUGAGGGAUGCUGGAGGUAUCAGAAGUGCGAAUGCUGACAUAAGUAACGAUAAUGCGGGUGAAAAGCCCGCUCGCCGGAA